AAUUGUCUCAGAAUACCACUCUCUACAUCAUACUAAAAGUUAAUUCAAACGUGAACAACCCCUUUAAUAAUACAAGGAGAAGAACUGGCAUACUAAUACAGGCUCAAUAUAAAAAGAAAGAUGAUACAUAUAAACCUGAUACAGGGAGAAAUCUGGCAUUUUAGUACAGUUACUACUGGUGGGUAACUAAGAUCUUCCAUUGGUUUAGAAAAUAUUCUGGCACUGGUUAUUUUAGAGUUGCAUUUGGCCUCUCACCUGCCACUUUCUAUCAUGUCCUGCCCCCUUCUUCCAAAUGAUACAGACAUAGGGACUGACAACAUAGACUGUUAUGUGAAGCUCUGACUAUUAGAGCAGCCGUCUCUUUGCUCUGCAGGCUGACGGAGGAAGCCAGAACCUAUAAUCGGGCAGGAAACAAGAACCAGGCUCUGCGUUGUUUGCGGAAGAGAAAGCUAGUGGAGCGUCGCAUUACGGAGCUGCAGAACAAGCAGGACAACAUACAGGGAAUCUUGGAGAGGAUAACGGCUGCCGAAACAGACCGCAAGGUUGUCUCUGCGUACCAGAUGGGAGUCUCUGCUCUUAAACAGGCCCUAAAAGAUGUCACUUUGGAGAAGGCAGAAAGUAUUGUGGAUCAGAUUCAAGAGAUGUUGACUCUGAUGAUUUGGAGAGAGAACUCAAUGACAUUCUCCAAAAUGAAGAGAUGAUUAUUGACCUUCCUGAUGUUCCUUCAGGCCCAGUGAUCAUUUCUCCCCAGCGCCCUACAGAAUGGAAGAUGG